rnacentral:rRNA from 3 species
UGGGGAAUUUUGGACAAUGGGGGCAACCCUGAUCCAGCAAUGCCGCGUGUGUGAAGAAGGCCUUCGGGUUGUAAAGCACUUUUGUCCGGGAAGAAAUCCUUUUCGAUAAUACCGAAGGGGGAUGACGGUACCGGAAGAAUAAGCACCGGCUAACUACGUGCCAGCAGCCGCGGUAAUACGUAGGGUGCGAGCGUUAAUCGGAAUUACUGGGCGUAAAGCGUGCGCAGGCGGUGAUGUAAGACCGAUGUGAAAUCCCCGGGCUUAACCUGGGAACUGCAUUGGUGACUGCAUCGCUGGAGUAUGGCAGAGGGGGGUAGAAUUCCACGUGUAGCAGUGAAAUGCGUAGAGAUGUGGAGGAAUACCGAUGGCGAAGGCAGCCCCCUGGGCCAAUACUGACGCUCAUGCACGAAAGCGUGGGGAGCAAACAGG